UACAGAGGGUGCGAGCGUUAAUCGGAAUUACUGGGCGUAAAGCGCGCGUAGGCGGCUUUGUAAGUCGGUUGUGAAAUCCCCGGGCUUAACCUGGGAACUGCAUCCGAGACUGCAUGGCUAGAGUAUGGGAGAGGGAAGUGGAAUUUCAGGUGUAGCGGUGAAAUGCGUAGAUAUCUGAAGGAACAUCAGUGGCGAAGGCAGCUCGCUGGGACGGUACUGACGCUGAGACGCGAAAGCGUGGGGAGCAAACAGG
rnacentral:rRNA from 1 species